GACGAACGCUGGCGGCGUGCCUAAUACAUGCAAGUAGAACGCUGAAGAGAGGAGCUUGCUCUUCUUGGAUGAGUUGCGAACGGGUGAGUAACGCGUAGGUAACCUGCCUUGUAGCGGGGGAUAACUAUUGGAAACGAUAGCUAAUACCGCAUAACAAUGGAUGACACAUGUCAUUUAUUUGAAAGGGGCAAUUGCUCCACUACAAGAUGGACCUGCGUUGUAUUAGCUAGUAGGUGAGGUAAUGGCUCACCUAGGCGACGAUACAUAGCCGACCUGAGAGGGUGAUCGGCCACACUGGGACUGAGACACGGCCCAGACUCCUACGGGAGGCAGCAGUAGGGAAUCUUCGGCAAUGGGGGCAACCCUGACCGAGCAACGCCGCGGGAGUGAAGAAGGGUUUCGGAUCGGAAAGCUCUGUUGUAAGUCAAGAACGGGUGUGAGAGUGGAAAGUUCACACUGUGACGGUAGCUUACCAGAAAGGGACGGCUAACUACGUG
rnacentral:rRNA from 1 species